CCUGCCGGACCCGACUGCUAUCAGAGUGGGACUAAGCCAUGCGAGUCAACGCAGCAAUGCGUGGCACACGGCUCAGUAACACGUAGUCAACAUGCCCAGGGGACGUGGAUAACCUCGGGAAACUGAGGAUAAACCGCGAUAGGCCAAGGUUUCUGGAAUGGACACUGGCUGAAACCUACAUGGCCCCUGGAUUGGACUGCGGCCGAUCAGGCUGUUGGUGAGGUAAUGGCCCACCAAACCUGUAACCGGUACGGGCUUUGAGAGAAGGAGCCCGGAGAUGGGCACUGAGACAAGGGCCCAGGCCCUAUGGGGCGCAGCAGGCGCGAAAAUUCUGCAAUAGGCGAAAGCUUGACAGAGUUACUCUGAGUGAUGCCCGCUAAGGGCAUCUUUUGGCACCUCUAAAAAUGGUGCAGAAUAAGGGGUGGGCAAGUCUGGUGUCAGCCGCCGCGGUAAUACCAGCACCCCGAGUGGUCGGGACGAUUAUUGGGCCUAAAGCAUCCGUAGCUUGUUCUGCAAGUCUUCCGUUAAAUCCACCUGCUCAACAGAUGGGCUGCGGGAGAUACUACAGGGCUAGGAGGCGGGAGAGGCAAGCGGUACUCAGUGGGUAGGGGUAAAAUCCUCUGAUCCACUGAAGACCACCAGUGGCGAAGGCGGCUUGCCAGAACGCGCUCGACGGUGAGGGAUGAAAGCUGGGGGAGCAAACCGGAUUAGAUACCCGGGUAGCCCCAGCUGUAAACGAUGCAAUCGGGGA
rnacentral:rRNA from 1 species